AGGAGACCAGAUACACUGUCACAUUGAAAGUCAAGUGACGGUCCCUUGUGUCUCCUAUAACACCAUGGCCUUCUGGUGACUGCAGAGAGUCAAGCUGACUCUGCGGACAGAUACGAGGUCGACAUAC